UACGGGGGGAGCAAGCGUUGUUCGGAUUUACUGGGCGUAAAGGGCGCGUAGGCGGCCUCCGCAAGUCAGUUGUGAAAUCUCCGAGCUUAACUCGGAAAGGUCAACUGAUACUGCGGGGCUAGAGUGCGGAAGGGGCAACUGGAAUUCUUGGUGCAGCGGUGAAAUGCGUAGAUAUCGAUCGGAACACCCAUGGCGAAGGCAGCUCGCUGGCCUGCAACUGACGCUGAGGCGCGAAAGCGUGGGGAGCAAACAGG
rnacentral:rRNA from 1 species